UGGGGAAUAUUGGACAAUGGGCGAAAGCCUGAUCCAGCGAUGCCGCGUGUGUGAAGAAGGCCUGCGGGUUGUAAAGCACUUUCGUUGGGAAAGAAAAGGCUGUCGCUAAUAUCGGCAGCCCUUGACGUUACCCAAAUAAGAAGCACCGGCUAACUCUGUGCCAGCAGCCGCGGUAAUACAGAGGGUGCAAGCGUUAAUCGGAAUUACUGGGCGUAAAGGGUGCGUAGGUGGUUGAGUAAGUUGAAUGUGAAAUGCCUGGGCUUAACCUAGGAACUGCAUGCAAAACUACUCGACUAGAGUAAGGUAGAGGGAAGUGGAAUUUCCGGUGUAGCGGUGAAAUGCGUAGAUAUCGGAAGGAACACCAGUGGCGAAGGCGGCUUCCUGGACCAUUACUGACACUGAGGCACGAAAGCGUGGGUAGCAAACAGG
rnacentral:rRNA from 1 species